rnacentral:rRNA from 1 species
GACGUAGGAUGCAAGCGUUGUCCGGAAUUAUUGGGCGUAAAGAGUUCGUAGGCGGUUGCCUAAGUCUGGUGUUAAAGACCGAAGCUCAACUUCGGCAUGGCAUUGGAAACUGGGUGGCUAGAGUACGGUAGAGGUAUCGGGAAUUCCAGGUGUAGCGGUGAAAUUCGUAGAUAUUCGGAAGAACACCAGUGGCGAAGGCGGCUCACUGGUCCGGUACUGACGCUGAGGUGCGAAAGCGUGGGGAGCAAACAGG